rnacentral:rRNA from 1 species
UACGUAGGGUGCGAGCGUUGUCCGGAAUUAUUGGGCGUAAAGAGCUCGUAGGCGGUUUGUUGCGUCGGCCGUGAAAACCUGCAGCUUAACUGUGGGCCUGCGGCCGAUACGGGCAGACUUGAGUUCGGUAGGGGAGACUGGAAUUCCUGGUGUAGCGGUGAAAUGCGCAGAUAUCAGGAGGAACACCGGUGGCGAAGGCGGGUCUCUGGGCCGAUACUGACGCUGAGGAGCGAAAGCGUGGGGGAGCGAACAGG